GGGUUGUGAGGUUAAGCGACUAAGCGUACACGGUGGAUGCCCUGGCAGUCAGAGGCGAUGAAGGACGUGCUAAUCUGCGAUAAGCGUCGGUAAGGUGAUAUGAACCGUUAUAACCGGCGAUUUCCGAAUGGGGAAACCCAGUGUGAUUCGUCACACUAUCAUUACGUGAAUACAUAGCGUAAUGAAGCGAACCGGGGGAACUGAAACAUCUAAGUACCCCGAGGAAAAGAAAUCAACCGAGAUUCCCCCAGUAGCGGCGAGCGAACGGGGAGCAGCCCAGAGUCUGAAUCAGCUUGUGUGUUAGUGGAACGGUCUGGAAAGUCCGACGGUACAGGGUGAUAGUCCCGUACACCAAAAUGCACAGGUUGUGAACUCGAAGAGUAGGGCGGGACACGUGGUAUCCUGUCUGAAUAUGGGGGGACCAUCCUCCAAGGCUAAAUACUCCUGACUGACCGAUAGUGAACCAGUACCGUGAGGGAAAGGCGAAAAGAACCCCGGCGAGGGGAGUGAAAAAGAACCUGAAACCGUGUACGUACAAGCAGUGGGAGCCUCUUUAUGGGGUGACUGCGUACCUUUUGUAUAAUGGGUCAGCGACUUAUAUUCUGUAGCAAGGUUAACCGUAUAGGGGAGCCGAAGGGAAACCGAGUCUUAACUGGGCGUUAAGUUGCAGGGUAUAGACCCGAAACCCGGUGAUCUAGCCAUGGGCAGGUUGAAGGUUGGGUAACACUAACUGGAGGACCGAACCGACUAAUGUUGAAAAAUUAGCGGAUGACUUGUGGCUGGGGGUGAAAGGCCAAUCAAACCGGGAGAUAGCUGGUUCUCCCCGAAAGCUAUUUAGGUAGCGCCUCGUGAAUUCAUCUUCGGGGGUAGAGCACUGUUUCGGCUAGGGGGUCAUCCCGACUUACCAACCCGAUGCAAACUGCGAAUACCGAAGAAUGUUAUCACGGGAGACACACGGCGGGUGCUAACGUCCGUCGUGAAGAGGGAAACAACCCAGACCGCCAGCUAAGGUCCCAAAGUCAUGGUUAAGUGGGAAACGAUGUGGGAAGGCACAGACAGCCAGGAUGUUGGCUUAGAAGCAGCCAUCAUUUAAAGAAAGCGUAAUAGCUCACUGGUCGAGUCGGCCUGCGCGGAAGAUGUAACGGGGCUAAACCAUGCACCGAAGCUGCGGCAGCGACACUAUGUGUUGUUGGGUAGGGGAGCGUUCUGUAAGCCGUUGAAGGUGUGCUGUGAGGCAUGCUGGAGGUAUCAGAAGUGCGAAUGCUGACAUAAGUAACGAUAAUGCGGGUGAAAAACCCGCACGCCGGAAGACCAAGGGUUCCUGUCCAACGUUAAUCGGGGCAGGGUGAGUCGACCCCUAAGGCGAGGCCGAAAGGCGUAGUCGAUGGGAAACAGGUUAAUAUUCCUGUACUUGGUGUUACUGCGAAGGGGGGACGGAGAAGGCUAUGUUAGCCGGGCGACGGUUGUCCCGGUUUAAGCAUGUAGGCGGAGGUUCCAGGUAAAUCCGGUACCUUUUAACGCUGAGGUGUGAUGACGAGGCACUACGGUGCUGAAGUAACAAAUGCCCUGCUUCCAGGAAAAGCCUCUAAGCAUCAGGUAACACGAAAUCGUACCCCAAACCGACACAGGUGGUCAGGUAGAGAAUACCAAGGCGCUUGAGAGAACUCGGGUGAAGGAACUAGGCAAAAUGGUGCCGUAACUUCGGGAGAAGGCACGCUGAUAUGUAGGUGAAGUGAUUUACUCAUGGAGCUGAAAUCAGUCGAAGAUACCAGCUGGCUGCAACUGUUUAUUAAAAACACAGCACUGUGCAAACACGAAAGUGGACGUAUACGGUGUGACGCCUGCCCGGUGCCGGAAGGUUAAUUGAUGGGGUUAUCCGUAAGGAGAAGCUCUUGAUCGAAGCCCCGGUAAACGGCGGCCGUAACUAUAACGGUCCUAAGGUAGCGAAAUUCCUUGUCGGGUAAGUUCCGACCUGCACGAAUGGCGUAAUGAUGGCCAGGCUGUCUCCACCCGAGACUCAGUGAAAUUGAACUCGCUGUGAAGAUGCAGUGUACCCGCGGCAAGACGGAAAGACCCCGUGAACCUUUACUAUAGCUUGACACUGAACACUGGUCCUUGAUGUGUAGGAUAGGUGGGAGGCUUUGAAGUGUGGACGCCAGUCUGCAUGGAGCCAUCCUUGAAAUACCACCCUUUAAUGGCUGGUGUUCUAACGUGGACCCGUAAUCCGGGUUGCGGACAGUGUCUGGUGGGUAGUUUGACUGGGGCGGUCUCCUCCUAAAGAGUAACGGAGGAGCACGAAGGUUAGCUAAUCCUGGUCGGACAUCAGGAGGUUAGUGCAAAGGCAUAAGCUAGCUUGACUGCGAGAGUGACGGCUCGAGCAGGUGCGAAAGCAGGUCUUAGUGAUCCGGUGGUUCUGAAUGGAAGGGCCAUCGCUCAACGGAUAAAAGGUACUCCGGGGAUAACAGGCUGAUACCGCCCAAGAGUUCAUAUCGACGGCGGUGUUUGGCACCUCGAUGUCGGCUCAUCACAUCCUGGGGCUGAAGUAGGUCCCAAGGGUAUGGCUGUUCGCCAUUUAAAGUGGUACGCGAGCUGGGUUUAGAACGUCGUGAGACAGUUCGGUCCCUAUCUGCCGUGGGCGCUGGAGAAUUGAGGGGGGCUGCUCCUAGUACGAGAGGACCGGAGUGGACGCAUCACUGGUGUUCGGGUUGUCAUGCCAAUGGCAUUGCCCGGUAGCUAAAUGCGGAAGAGAUAAGUGCUGAAAGCAUCUAAGCACGAAACUUGCCCCGAGAUGAGUUCUCCCUGAGACUUUAAGUCUCCUGAAGGAACGUUAAAGACGAUGACGUUGAUAGGUCGGGUGUGUAAGUGUAGCGAUACAUUGAGCUAACCGAUACUAAUGAACCGUGAGGCUUAACCUUACAACGCCGAAG
rnacentral:rRNA from 1 species